AUUUGACCUCAAAUCAGGUAGGAACACCCGCUGAACUUAAGCAUAUCAAUAAGCGGAGGAAAAGAAAAUAACAAUGAUUCCCCUAGUAACUGCGAGUGAAGAGGGACAAGCUCAAAUUUUAAAUCUAUCGGGUUUUACCUGAUCGAGUUGUAAUUUGAAGAAGCGUUUUCUGCGUUUUUGAUCAGCCCAAGUCCUAUUGAAUGAGGCAUCAUGGAGGGUGAUAAUCCCGUCCGGUUGAUCAUUUGCGUUUUACGAUACGCUCUCUAAGAGUCAAGUUGUUUGGGAUUGCAGCUUAAAAUGGGAGGUAAAUUUCUCCUAAGGCUAAAUAACGGCGAGAGACCGAUAGCGAACAAGUACCGUGAGGGAAAGAUGAAAAGAACUUUGAAAAGAGAGUUAAACAGUACGUGAAAUUGUUGAAAGGGAAACGAUUGAAGCCAGUCGUACCUUCGGGUAAUCAGCCUUUCGGGUGCGAUUCUGUGGAGUGUGAGGAGCUUAACACCUUCAUGCUUUGCAUAUUUGUGCUCUUGGGUGUACUUGCUCGUGUGGUUGGUUAACAUCAAUUUUGAUUAUCAUAAAAUGAUUGGAGGAAUGUAGCUUCGAUCUCGUAUUGAAGUGUUAUAGCCUUCGGUAGAUGUGAUGAUCGAGAUUGAGGAUUGCAACGGAUACCCUUCGGGGCUACCUGUCUGGUCUCUGAUCGUUGCUCUGGUGCCGAAAGCGUGCUUACGGUUAUCAAAGUCGAUGGUCAAUAGGUUAGAACGGGUUAAAUUCGUUAAGGAUGUUGACGUAAUGGCUUUAAACGACCCGUCUUGAAACACGGACCA
rnacentral:rRNA from 1 species